rnacentral:rRNA from 1 species
CGCGUAGGCGGUUUCGGAAGUCAUGGGUGAAAGUCCUCGGCUCAACCGAGGGAUGGCCUGUGAAACCACGGGACUGGAGUGCUGGAGAGGGAAGUGGAAUUCCCAGUGUAGCGGUGAAAUGCGUAGAUAUUGGGAGGAACACCGGUGGCGAAGGCGGCUUCCUGGACAGACACUGACGCUGAGGCGCGAAAGCCAGGGGAGCGAACG